rnacentral:rRNA from 1 species
UUCUUCAACCUCAGAUCAAGUAGGAUUACCCGCUGAACUUAAGCAUAUCAAUAAGCGGAGGAAAAGAAACCACCAGGGAUUGCCUUAGUAACGGCGAGUGAAGCGGCAAAAGCUCAAAUUUGAAAUCGGCCAUCAGGUCGAGUUGUAAUUUGUAGAUUGUACUUUGAGAGCGGAUUAAAGUCUGUUGGAACACAGCGCCUUAGAGGGUGACAGCCCCGUAAAAUCUAUUCUCAUUGUAAGGUACUUUCGAAGAGUCGAGUUGUUUGGGAAUGCAGCUCUAAGUGGGAGGUAAAUUCCUUCUAAAGCUAAAUAUUGACGAGAGACCGAUAGCGAACAAGUACUGUGAAGGAAAGAUGAAAAGCACUUUGAAAAGAGAGUGAAAAAGUACGUGAAAUUGUUAAAAGGGAAGGGUAUUGAAUCAGACGUGGUGCUGUUGUUCAACUUUGUUUCGGCAUGGUGUACUCAGCAGUACUAGGCCAAGGUGGGGUGUUUGGGAGUGAAAAAGGAAUAGGAACGUAGCUCUUCGGAGUGUUAUAAYCUAUUUUCAUAGCUCCUCAGGCGCCUCAGGACUGCGCUUCGGCAAGGACUUUGGCAUAAUGAUUCUAUACCGCCCGUCUUGAAACACGGACCAAGGAGUCUAACGUCUAUGCGAGUGUUUGGGUGUAAAACCCGUACGCGUAAUGA